rnacentral:misc_RNA from 1 species
AACGAGGCCGACCUGCGGCUGAGUUACCUGCGGAAGGAUCAUUAUAGAGUUUUCUAAACUCCCAAACCCAUGUGAACUUACCAUUGUUGCCUCGGCAGAACCUACCCGGUACCUACCCUGGAACGAGCUACCCUGUAGCUACCCAGGAACGGGCUACCCUGUAACGUCCUGCCGGUGGACUUCUAAACUCUUGUUAUUUAUAGUAAUCUGAGCGUCUUAUUUUAAUAAGUCAAAACUUUC